ACAACAGUUUCCGUACACAUAUAAUUUGGCAGCGGUUUAUGCGCAACUUUUUGAUGCGCUGUCUGAGGCGUUUGCGACAUUUGUGGCGCAUGCAAUCGCGAUUGACGAGUCGGCGGAGAGAGUGGGAGCGGCUGCGUGCGAUUUUCCCGAUUUCCAUCCAUCUCCUAGAUUCGAUUAGUUUAAUUUUUCAUUCAUUAAUUUAAAUAUUGGGCGACUUAGUGUAUGACUAAGAAAUUGCACGAUACACGAGAGCUCGAAGUGGGACCGGACAUAAGUCAUCGACGUCUCUGAGGACCAAGGGGGUGUUUCCAGAAGGAAUGUGACUCAUGUCCAGCUGAAAAAAGAACGUGACUGAAGUCUGUGUGGAAUUUGUGAGGUAUUGGUUCCAGAGUUAAGUUUUAGUCUGUAGUUCUAGAAACAAUCAAAAUGUUUAGUUGGCUUGAUGGACAUGAAGAGAAGAAGAAGCAUGUUGAAGUCUAUGAAACUGUGUUUGAAGGUCUGAAAAAGAUCUACAAACAAAAAGUGUUGCCUCUUGAAGAAGCAUAUCAGUUCCAUGACUUCCACUCUCCAAAGCUGGAUGACCCAGAUUUUGAUGCCAAGCCCAUCAUCAUGCUGGUUGGUCAGUACUCCACUGGAAAGACAACAUUCAUCAGGUAUCUGCUCGAGAGAGACUUCCCUGGCAUCAGAAUUGGACCUGAGCCAACCACUGAUGGGUUCAUUGCAGUCAUGCAUGGAGACCAUGAUGGCAUCAUCCCAGGAAAUGCAUUGGUGGUGGAUCCCAAAAAGCCAUUCAGGCCACUGUCAAAGUUUGGAAAUGCCUUCCUGAACAGGCUGCAAUGCUCCACUGUGAACUCAACUGUUCUCAGGUCCCUGACAAUCAUUGACACACCUGGCAUCCUCUCGGGUGAGAAGCAGAGGGUGGACAGAGGCUAUGACUUUGCCGGAGUGCUGGAGUGGUUUGCCGAGAGGGUGGACAGGAUCAUCCUGCUGUUUGAUGCUCACAAACUGGACAUCUCAGACGAGUUCAGGAGGUCCAUUGGUGCCCUGAAGGGACAUGACGACAAGAUCAGGAUAGUGCUGAACAAGGCAGACAUGGUGGACCACCAGCAGCUGAUGAGGGUGUACGGAGCCCUGAUGUGGUCUCUUGGGAAGGUGAUCGCCACCCCUGAGGUCUCCAGGGUGUACAUCGGCUCAUUCUGGGACCAGCCUCUGCGCUAUGACUCCAACAGGAAGCUCUUUGAAGCUGAGGCACAAGAUCUGUUCCUGGACCUGCAGUCACUCCCCAGGAAUGCUGCUCUGCGAAAGCUGAAUGAUCUCAUCAAGAGGGCAAGGCUGGCAAAGGUGCACGCCUACAUCAUAGCUGCUCUGAAGAAGGAAAUGCCAUCGAUGUUUGGCAAGGACAGCAAGAAGAAGGAGCUCAUCAAAAACCUGUCAGCCAUCUACGAGAGUGUGCAGCGAGAGCACCAGAUCAGUCCCGGAGACUUCCCAGACAUUGCACGCAUGCAGGAACGUCUUCUUCACGAAGACUUCAGCAAGUUCCAGCCGCUGAAGCCGCGCCUGAUCCAGAACGUGGACAAGAUGCUGGCCGAGGACAUCGCCAGGCUGAUGGCCAUGGUCCCGCUGGAGGAGAAGCAGAACAUGGUCCCCAAAGAGGACGGCAAGCCCAACAGCGGCCACACGGUUUCAGGCGGCGCGUUCGACGGCGUGCGCAGUGCCGACACGCCGUUCGGCUUCAACAAGUGUGAGGGGGCCGACGCCGGCGCCGGCGAGGCCGAGUGGGUGGUGAACCGCGACCGACCCAAGUACGACCCCAUCUUCUUCAGCAUGAACCCCGUGGACAACAAGGUCACCGGAGCAGCGGCCAAGGCGGAGAUGGUCAAGUCGAAGCUGCCCAACACGGUGCUAGGCAAGGUGUGGAAGCUGGCCGACCACGACAAGGACGGCAUGCUGGACGUGGAGGAGUUCGCCCUGGCCAUGCACUUGAUCAACAUCAAGCUGGACGGGCACGACCUGCCGGCCGAGCUGCCCGCCCACCUGGUGCCGCCCAGCCAGCGCGGCUUCUGAGCGAGCGCACACCGCUCAUAGUGGGGCGAGCGAGUGUGAGAGAGUGACGAACGGAGCGGGGAGCGCAGUACUAUCAGCGGUGUACGCUUCAGACCGGCACACCACCACACUAUGGCGGCGUUAUUUUUGUACUCGGCCGCAUUAUCACUCGCGCGGCGCCCGCUCUUCUGCAUGCUUCCUGUAUCCAGUUAUCCAGCGAGUCUGAUGUCUUCUCGAGGCCUUCAGCGGCGGGGCGCGCGCGGCCCGCCGCCGUCCCGUCCCCGUUUGGCGUCCCAGGCGCGCGGCCCGCCAACAGGCGGCGCCGCCGACCAACAAAUUAGUGCUUGUUCUGUCAGCGAGGGCGUCGCGGCGACCCUUCUGUUGCUUGACGGUGCCUUUGGCCGGUCUGUUUGUGUUUCUUCAGACGGCCGUGCGAGGCGAGCUCGCCUGCCGCGUGCGAGUGUGUACCCGUAGUGUCGCUCGUGUGUUGCCGUUGGUAGUUUGUGGCUAGGCCCGAUUGGUCACAGCGCACAGUCAGCUGGGUAUGAUCGUACCCGGAGCGGUUUCGACCCCUCGGACGAAAUCGUACGUGUCGCAGAAAUUAGCCGUGACGUCUAUAACGAUAUUGAACGAAUCCACGUACCGCCGCGGCGCAGUUAUUGGUUAUUGUUACUGGGCCACGGAGCUCUGAGCCCGCCUCGACCCACAGAGUAUUCCAGAUCGGUAGUUAUUUAUUUACGGUGUGCGCGGAGUCAUUGUAACGCGUUCGGUCCGUCCGCCGACCGCACACAGAUUAAAACCACAUAGUCACACGGGCGCGGCUAUCUAGGCUUAGGCAGGGAAAACGGUGGCGAAUACACCUAUAUUAUAUAUCAGAUGG
rnacentral:misc_RNA from 1 species